rnacentral:rRNA from 1 species
GACGAAAGCUGGCGGCGUGCCUAAUACAUGCAAGUAGAACGCAGUUGCGAACGGGUGAGUAACGCGUAGGUAACUACCUCCUAGCGGGGGAUUACUAUUGGGAACGAUAACUACAACCGCAUAAUGUGAGAUGGAACUGCGUGGUAUUAGGUAGUUGGGUGGGUAAAGGCUCACCAAGGCGACGAUACCUAGCCGACCUGAGAGGGUGAUCUGUCAGACUGGGACUGAGGACAGGCACCGAAUCCUACGGGAUGCAGCAAUAGGGAAUCAUUGGCAAUGGACGGAAGUCUGACCGAGCAACGCCGCGGGAUUUAAGAAGGUUUUCGGAUCGGAAAGCUCUGUUGUUAGAGAAGCGGUAACUACCCAGAAAGGGACGGCUAACUACGUGCCAGCAGCCGCGGUAAUAC